GGUUUGGGUGGAACCUAAGGCGGGCAUUAGGGAUGCACAGGUAGCCCAUUGGCCCUAGGUUUGGCACCAUAGUUAAAUUCCCAGGGGCGGGAAGAUGGCAUCACAGGUAAAUUCCUCCGGAGGGGGAGAUAGGGCAAGUGAUCCUAUAUGUAAACAGUUGUGUAAGUCAGCGAUGAUGUCUAAGGCCUGUUGAUGUGGGAGAACAAGUUUAGAUCCCUGAAAAAUCCAUCCCUGAAUGUUUUGUGUGUAACCUGAUUUAUGAAGUAGCUGUAACUGCUCUGGUGAAUAAUUAGGCUGAGGUAGACUGUUUGGGACUAACGGGAGAAGAUGAGAAGGGCAGGGCCCUUGUGCAGCUAGCUUGGCUUGUGAAUCUGCAAAGGCAUUGCCUUGAGCAAUAGGAUCUGUAGAGUUUUGGUGUCCUCUACAAUGAAUAACUGCUGCCUGCUUUGAAAGUUGGGCUGCUUCUAGAAGUUUAAGGAUAAAGGGAGCAUUAAUGAUGGGGGUUCCUUGAGUGGUAAUAAAACCCCGUUUUUGCCAGAUAGAGGCAGGAGAGUGUAAAAUGCUAAAUGUAUACUUUGAGUCAGUGUAUGUAUUUAUAAUCUUACCUUUUGCUAGUGUAAGAGCCCUUGUAAGGGCAAUAAGUUCUGCCCUUUGGGAAGAGGUCCCAGGUGGCAGUAGAUUUGCCUCUAUAACUUUUGACUGGUUAACUAUUGCGUAUCCUGCCUUUUUUUGGUUGUCUGUGUUUGUUGAACUGCCAUCUAUGAACCAUGUGUCAAAGGCCAAAGAGAGAGGUGUGCUACUGAUGUGAGGGAAAGGGGUGGGAGUCAUCUGUAAGACCUCAAUACAGUCAUGGUGAUGGUGGCCCUCCGAGGUGGGAAGUAAGGUGGCUAUAUUUAGAGGACCACUAGUUGCAAUAGAGAUGCAAGGGUCUUGAGAGAGAGCUAAGUGUACCUGUUGAAGGCGAGAAGGGGUCAUUAGGGCAGGGAGCACCUUAUGUGAGAUAAACUCACGUAGGUGAUGAGGUGAGUGUACUGUAAUAGAUUGCCCUAAUGUAAACUUUUUAGCUUCCUGUGUCAAGAGGGCUGCAGCUACAAGAGCUCAGAGACAAGGAGCCCAUCCUUUUACUGUGUGAUCUAACUGUUUUGAUAAGUAAGCUACUGCUUGAAAAUAAGGUCCCUUUUUGUGUCCUAGUACACCUAUAGCAUUGUGGCCCUGAAAGGUAGUGUAUAGGAUGAAAGGUUGGGUGGGAUCAGGAAGGGUAAGAGCUGGAGCUUUUAGGAGAGCCUCUUUUAAUUUAUGAAAGGAGGCAUGUAUGGGCCUAGUAGGGUCCAGGGGUUCUGAUAAGGGACCCUUAGCGGCCUUGUAAAGGGGUUGAGCUAGGGCUGCAAGUUAGGAAUCCAGAGAUGAAAGAAAUUAGCUAGACCUAGGAAAGAUGUAACCUGCUGUUUAGUUGUGGGCACCUGGAGAUCACGAAGAAUUGCCUUACAAUCUGAGGUGAUGGAGCGAGUAGUGGGGGUGAGAGCGAGACCUUGGUAUUUGACUUUUGGGGAAGCUAUCUGGGCUUUAGCAGGAGAGACCCUGUAUCCAUGACUAGCAAAGAAAUUAAGAAGACUGGCUGAGUGGUGUAUGGCUAACAUAUGGGAUGGAGAACAUAAUAGAAGGUCGUCUAUAUAUUGAAGGAGAACACUAGGUUUGACAUCAAGUUCUGUGAGGUCAGUAGCGAGAGCCUGACUAAAGAAGUGGGGACUAUCUCUGAACCCUUGGGGGAGCACUGUCCAAGUAAGUUGUUGAGAACUGAGAGUGUCUGGGUCAGUCCAUGUAAACACAAAGAGGUUUGGCAAUCAGGGUGUAGGGAGAUAGUGAAGAAGGCAUUUUUAAGAUCUAUAACUGUAAAGUGAGUGGUGGAGGGAGGGAUAUGAGAGAGCAUGGUAUAAGGAUUUGGCACCACUGGGUGAGUGGGGGUAACAGCACUGUUAAUUACCCUAAGGUCCUGUACCAGGCGAUAAAACCCAUCAGCCUUAAGUACUGGGAGAAUGGGAGUACUGUGGGGUGAUUGGGUAGGUUUAAGAAAACCGUUGUCUAAAAGCCGCUUAAUUAUGGGUUUAAGUCCCCUUAAAUGUUGGGGGGCUAUGGGGUAUUGGGGAACACAGGGAAAAGUUGAGGGAUUCCUGAGAUGGAUCAAAACAGGCGUGGCAUGUGUAGCCAGAGUGGGAUUGGAUGUGUCCCAAACUAUGGGGUCAACCAGAGAAGGAGGAAGGGGAGGGAAUGGCUUUGUGACAUAUUGUGAGGCUGUUUGGAGAAUUAGGGCUGUGGGGAGAGAGAAAGUGAAGGAAAAAUUAAGCUUUUGAAGAAGAUCUCUACCUAAAAGGGGUGUGGAACAUGUUGGGAUUACUAGGAAGCUAUGGGUAAAAAAAAAAAAAAAGAGUCUGGAAUCUACACAGGAUAGGCCCAGUCUGCAAAGGUUGAUUAGGCUGGCCAUCAACGCCCGCAACAGAAAUCAAGGAUUUACUACAAGGUCCUGAGAAUUCAGGAAGUACACUAUAAGUCGCCCCCGUAUCCACAAGCAGAGAUAUUAUCUUACCUGAGACUUCCAGUGAGACUCGGGCUCCGACAAGGUUACCGGAGUGGGGGCUGUGAGCCCCGAGCCCCGUCAAUCUUCUGCAGCAAGUCCAAGCAGGUCAGUCAGCCACGAAUCUGGCAUUGACAGAGUCUCCUGUGAGGGCGAGGGAUUAGAGGAUGGUUUACCCACUCGUUGGCGGCUAGGAUAGUCACUCUUCCAAUGCCCUUUAAGGUUGCAGUAUGGACAAGGUCCUGGAGGAAUACCAGGGUUAGGGCAAUCUUUUGCCCAGUGUCCUUGUUUGCUGCACUUUAAGCACGGUCUGGGCAGGACUCGGGCAGCCACACCUUGUUGCGGAUUUUUUGUCUUGGGAGCUCUGAGUGCCACUGCUAAGAGGUCAGACUGAUAUUUAGCAAACUUUAAUUUUUGAGCUUGUUUUUCCUCCUUUUGAACCUUAUCUCUAUUGUUGAAUACACAGAAGGCUAAUUUAAUAGAUCCCCUUGUGGAGUUUGAGGGCCAUGUUCAACCUUUUGUAAUUUUGCACGAAUAUCAGGAGCAGACUGUGAAAUAAAAGAAGAGUUAACAACAAUCAUCCCUUCAUGAGAGUCUGGGUUUACAUUAGUAUACUUGAUUAAGAUUUCCCGAAGCCGAUUUAAAAACACAGCAGGGUUUUCGUUAGCCUCCUGGACCUGUUCUAAAAGCUUGUUGUAGUUAGUAUGCUUGUGAGCAAUCUUAUUAAGGCCCACAAUCAGACACUCAAUCAUCUUAUGUAAUUUUUUUUUUGUCUUUUUCAUUUUUAUCGGUACCAGGGAUUGAACUCACGACUGCCUGCUUGCAAGGCAGGUGCUUAUGCCGCUGAGCUAAAUCUCCAGCCCCUUAUGUAAUUUUUUGAACCUUGUCCAUUCUGAUAGUUCCAGUCAGGUUCUUGGUCUGGCACAGCUACAGGCCCAGGGUCAUUUUCAGUGGUGUUCGCUCUAUGCCUGUGAUCAGCUUCUUCUUGAGCUGCCUGCUACAGCUGAUUUCGCUCUUGUGAGCUAAGGAUGGUAUUUAAAAUCACAUAAACAUCCUUAAAAUGUAAAUCAUAACAAUUAGUAAUGAAUUCAAAUUGCCUGAUAUAAUUCUGUGGGUCAACAGAGAAGCUACCUAAUUUAUGGGCAAUCUGGGAUAGAUCAGAAAGGGAAAAAGGCACAUGGAUGUUAACAAGUCCCUCGGGGCCCGCUUGCUCCCGAAGUGGUAGCAGAGCCUGAGGAGAAGAUUCCAGAGCAGAGGGCCAUUGGGCAGCCAUCCGUCCAGUAGACGCGUGUGAGCAAUCAUCUGUAGAGCAGCUACAGAGCUGCUGCUGGUCACCCUGGGAAACACAGGCAGAUGGCGUCUCACUGUGUGCCUUGCAGCAAGAGGACUGCUGUGGGCAGCACAAUGAAGCAUCAUGUGCACUGCAACAGGGCAGCUGUUGCAGUUCACAAGAGGAGCCACAAGGGGGCGCCCAUUGACAAGUGAGGGUCCUGGGAACAUGGCAGCACCCUGUUGCCAUGUGACCCUCCUGAACAUGGCAGCGCCAUGUCACGUGGCAGAGGGUUGCAACAUGGCGACUGUUCCCAGCGCAAGCUGGAACAAUCACACGGCCUGCUGGAAGGACAUGGCGACCGAGACCCAGUAUGAUGGGCAGGCGGUGAGAAUGCUGUAGGGGAUAGAGAAUUCUCAGGAGAACAAGAAAUGGGAGACUUUGAGGAAGUGCUAACAGAGUGAUUAGAGUUGCCGGGAGAAUUAUGGGUCCCGGAAGGCGGAAAAGGAGAUGAUCGCACAGCGGGAGAUAACUGCGACACAGAGGGAUUAGAGCUGCUGGGAGAGUUAUGGAUCCUGGGAGACAGAGGGGAAGAGGAUCGCACAGCGGGAGGUAACUGUGACUCAUUGGGACCAAGACUGCUGAGAGAAUCAGUACCAAGGAUCAAACUCACAACCCCGCGCUUGCAAGGCUAUACAAACCAUUGAGGGCCAGGAAGAGAGAAGCCAGAUCUCCUUCCCUGUGAGCCCGCCAGCAUGUGGGCUGAGAGUGAAGAACUCCCAUCCCUAAGCAACCAGCUGAUUCAGAGAACAGGGGAUCGAACUCAUGACUGCUGGCUUGCAAGGCAGGCGCUUAUGCAGCUGAGCUAAACCUCCAGCCCUCCUGCUUUGAAGUUCUGUACCACUCUCACUGCUUUGUUUGGAUUGGCUGUACCCUAUUUUGUUUGGUUGGGUUUUAUUCUCUUUAGAAUAAAAAUAAACCGAAUUAUUCUGCUGUAAA